rnacentral:rRNA from 1 species
UUGGGAAUAUUGGACAAUGGAGGGAACUCUGAUCCAGUGACGCCGCGUGAAGGAAGAAGGUCUUCGGAUUGUAAACUUAUUUUAUCAGGGAAGAAAAAAAUGACAGUACCUGAAGAAAAAGGACCGGCUAACUACGUGCCAGCAGCCGCGGUAAUACGUAGGGUCCAAGCGUUAUCCGGAUUUACUGGGUGUAAAGGGCGAGUAGACGGUGUUGCAAGUCAGGUGUGAAAACUUAGGGCUUAACUUUAAGACUGCAUCUGAAACUGUAAUACUAGAGUGCAGAAGAGGUAAGUGGAAUUCCUA